UAAUUUAAGGACGUUUUAUUUAUUUAUUCGAUGAUGCACAAAACACAAUAUUCAUUGACUGUUUUCUGAUUUGUUUCAGAUUCAAGACACAAUCAAACCUGUACCGACACAAGGAGUAUCACGGUGGCGUGCAGUACCCGUGCUUGGUGUGCGGCCGCGUCUACCCGACCAACAGCACUCUCAGAGCGCAUAGCAUCACCCACAGCACCCUCAGGCCUCACAAGUGUCCGCUUUGCGAGAAAACAUUCAAAAGAAAUCAGGAUCUUAAAUUCCACAUAAAUCAGCAUACUGGUGCCCGUCCUUACAAGUGUCCCUAUUGUCCGAAAGCGUUUGCCAGCUCGGGAAACUGCUUCUCUCAUCGCAAGCGAAUGCAUCCGACCGAAGUGGAAAGAGACCGAGAAAUGGCCGACGAAAUAGCACGAUGAUCACAACAUCUACGGUAAAUCACUGUCAUGGAGAAUUUGAAUGAUGAAUCAAUAGAAAUUACGCCUUUUAUCGUAACCUCCAACCAAAAUCUAGUCACAUCAAUAAGCUCAAAAUCAAUCAACAUAGGCUAGAAGUGAUGGGUAAAUACUUUUUAAUCGUAUUUUUAUUUGUACUUCUUCCUAUUCGUUUGACUUUGACUUAAUUUUUUAUAGGAUUUAUUCAUCUAAUGAAGUAUCUCAUUUUUUCUUAUUUGUAUUUUCUUAGACGGAGUCAGAUAAAGCCUCCUCUUUACCAGCCAACCUCAAGUUUCUCUAGUCGUCUGAACAAAUUGGUCAUAGAAUUAAGCUUUUCUCUUUUUGAAUUAUUCUAGUCCAAGCUAUGUUGGAGAACGGGAAAUCCACCUUCUCUUUCAUUACUACGUAAAUAGCUUUAUCAGCAAAUUAUUAGUAGGCAUACCAAACGAAAACAAAAUUAACAUUACUCACAAUUUACGUGCGUAUAUUGCCAUUGGUAAAAACUUUGGAUCAAAAAUAUUAUUCAACCUUUUUUUCUUUUUUAUUUGUUGAAAAUUAAUUCAAUGAGUGGAAUAACAUUAUUUUUUAUUAUUUUUCCCCACAACAUUGUUUCUCUAGCUGAAUUAUUCUAGUCCAAACUAUGUUGGAGAACGGGAAAUCCACCUUCUCUUUCAUUACUCGUAAAUAGCUUUAUCAGCAAAUUAAUAGCACCACACCAAAACAAAAUCAACAUUACUCACAAUUUCUGUGCGUAUAUUGUCAUUGGAAAAAACGUUGGAUCAAAAAUAUUAUAACUUUUUUCUUUCUUAUCUGUUGAAAAUUGAUUCAUUAAGUGGAAUAACAAUAUUUUUCAAUAUUCUUGCCCACCACGUUGAAGUGGCAUGUAAAUAUCAAUUAAUUACUGUAAGUUAUUGACACAUUAGUGCUCUGUUCCCUAAAAUUCAUUUUGAACUGAUUAUAUUCUUAGUUUUAUUUACAAGUAUAUUUGUAUUCAAAUAAGGAUAAGUUUAAGACAAUAUAGUUCAUUUUCAAAUUAUUCUUUUAUUGCGGAAUUCAAGUUUACAAUGUCUCAAAUAUCUAACCUAUUCGCCAAAGAUUUAUUCAAAAACCAAAGAUUUUAUACAAUUAGAAUAGAACCCUAAUUUAGUUUCAUAGUUACUGAUUCAUGCAUUUCAGUACAAAAACUCACUAGUCCAUGUCAGAUCUCCUUCUCUUGCCAGGCAUCAAACCUCAUCCAAGAAUGAUAAAUGUAUUUUGUAACCAAAAGUAGUAGUUUCUACCCAAAAUCUACCAAGCAAAAGUUCACUCCCACCAUCUUAAACAUACUGAUCGGAUAUCUAGAAAUUUUGGUAUUCUUAUAUAAUGACCAAAGUUCAAUUUUUAUCAAUUCUUAUUUAACAUUUUAUUUUUUGUUUAAUAUAAAUUAUCAAUUCAUAACUAUUAAUAUUGAGAUCCUAAUUUUUGGUCAAUUCCUUUUCUUUUGUUUAGCAGUAAGAAGUAAGUAAUCUAGUCAAUCAUCAAAUAUAUUAUCUCCAUUUUUUUAUAGACACCAUCACUUUGGCUUGGCUUUUGCCAAGGAAUAUUUUGGUUUUUUAAGAUCAUGAGCGAUAGAAACUGUUAAUAAAAGAGUAUGGCCAUUGUAGAUAUGCUAUAAGUUAUAUAUGCCGUGGUAACUGGCAACUCGGUUGCUUGAAAUCUAUGAAAAGUUUAGUUAUGAGCUAUAAAAAGUCCAUGAAUAAAAAUAAUAAAAUACCAUUGUAAUGUUGACUGUUAGAAUAUUGAUAGCUUACGGUAUUUUAAGUAUCAUCCAUUCACUUACUUCCAUUAAAACUUAUUAGGCAACAUUUUACACACAGAACAAAAACACAUGACAUUCUUUAUAAACGAUCUUUGAAACUGUCUUAGCGAAGCACACUUGGUUGCCUAGUAACCAUUCAAUGCCUCCCAAUUUGCCUAAGACCAGAAUCCUGGAUUGGGAUUGGCUGUCACAUCUGGGUGGUUCUACGAUUCCUCAAAUGAGCUUCCUAGGAACUUGUCGAGGGAAUAGAGUGGGCUCCCCUUCAGUCAUGUCUUCAUUGUCCUUGCAAAUGUGCAAAUGUUCACCAAACCAUUCUUCGCUGAGAACAUCUUAAAAAUCGUUUAUAAACACGGCCCAUAGUUUUUGCAGCUUCAUUAUUAAUUCUCAUUUUGAGCUAAAGCCGCAAACUCGCAAACCCUCUUAUACUCGAUCUUUAUGUACAUUAUCUAUUUCGUAUUAGUCUAUUAUUAUUGUGUGAUGUAUUAUCUUUGUUGUAUUUUAUCAAUUGCAUUAUUUUAUAGAAUCGUUUAAUUAUAAAUUGAAUUUAAUGUUUUUUACGUAUUAUUCACAAGUAUUAUGUGUUUUUCUUCUAAGGUUUUCAUUCUAACUUUAACUAUUGGUAAAUAACUGACUUUAUGACUAGUACUGUACUUCUAAGAAGUACUAUUUUUAAAGAUAAAACCGUGAAUCAUAAAGUUCAGUAUUUUAUUCAAAAAAAUAAUACAGGCUAUUCUAUGAAUUAUUGUUUAGUGGUGUUAUUUCGAUCAAUGUUCGUAUUUUGUUCACGUCUUUCAAAAGUAAUUAUUUGUGUUUUUUAAUCGUCGAUUUUGCUUCGGUGUAUUAUUUGUUCAAUGUACUAGCUUUAUUACAAUUAUUAUUUAUUAUACACAUGUUGUGAAUUACCACCAACAUUACAUAAGCAUUAGUUGAAUCCAUAUCGGUUUGUUUUAUUGCCAUAGUUUAUAUUUUAUACACAUAAAUCUUUGUAUAAUGUUGUUGUUGUCUUAAUCAGUUUUCAAGUUCCAAGUACCGUAAUCAUGAUAUUAUAAUAAAUAAUAAUCUAAUAUUUUUACAAACAUUAGGUAGGUAUGCAAACUAUAUUUGCAUUAAUAAUGGAAUGCAAUUAUUAUAUUUUUAUCAUAAUGUAGUGAAACUGUUUAACUUAAUAUAUUGGUCGAGAAUAAUAUAAUAUCAACUAAGUAUUAUAUGUCGGAAGUAACAAAGACUUGAUAAUACCAUAGAGAAACAAUAGCAUAAGUAGAUAUCCCAUGGUAUAGGGCGUUUAUGUCGCAACUUUUACUGUUAUCUCAAGCUGAUAGUCCACGUAGUUCUUUCCCGUGAAGCUUUAUGACGCUGCUAGUCUCUCAUAUUGUGCCGUUCAUACACUUCGUACACUCCAUGCCCGGUCGAAACAGUAAAAAUUGAAAAUAAUCGACAGUAAUCAGCUUGAGAUAACAGUAAAAGUUGUGACAUAAACGCCCUAUACCAUGGGAUAUCUACUUACGCUAUUGUUUCUCUAUGAUAAUACCAUGUAUUUGCAAAGUAUUCAAUUUAUUUUUAUGAUAACAUGAAAUAUUAUGUUGAAUUCAGACAAUUCAGACGUAGUCAUAAAUAUGUUAUUAUAAGAGUAGAUAAUGUAAAAAUGAAUUUUAUUUAUUAAUAUUUUUUUGAAAGAUGAUCAUUUAUUUUAUUUAUUCAAUAAUUAAGGUUUUUUAUUAUUAGAAAAUAAUAACUUGUGUGAGAAUUGUGUGUAAUACCUUCAACGGCUUCAAAAAUCUUAUUUCAUUUUUUGAAAAUGUCUUUGAAGUUUCUAAUAGAGUGAUCAUUGUAAACAAUCGCCAUUCAGAAAACGUUGAAAUUAUUUGUAAUAGUAUUCAAGUCACUAAGAAUACUAAUAUUGAAAUUUUUGUUAUUAUUUUUCCUCAUAUUCACAUCUUUUUGCUUUAAAAUUAUUCCGUUUAAUAUACUCACCCAUAAAAAUUGAUUAUUUGAUUAAUAAUUAUGAGAAGUAAAUCAGUUUAUUCCACGUUACAUUAUUUUUUUUUAAUCAAAUAACAAGUAAAUAUGUUUAUAUUAGUUACAAUAGAGUAUAUUACCGGUGUUCAUGAAAAGUGCAAUUACAAUAUAUUUAAAACAUAAGCCAGCAAACAAUAAAUAAUAGAGUACCUGAAUUUUGAACAGUUCAUUGUUACAAAGAAAUACUGUAGAAGCAUUGUCCAUAGUAAUUAAUGUCGAUUUUUCAGAUGUGUGGUUGAUUUUAAAGGUUUGUUUUUCAGUAAAAUUGUAUAUUAUAUUAUGUUUUGUCUUAGUUUGGAAACAUAUUUGGUAGAAGUAAUUCAUAUUAAAACAGUGUUUCCAGCUCAAAAGCUACUUAGUAUUGUAUUUUAGUGGAUAUUAGAUAUUGUGAGAAACCCCAAUUAGAUUAUUGACAACUGCUUCAAUACUAUGUUUAUAGAAAUAGAAUACUACAAUACCACCUCAGGAAUUUUUUAUUUGCAUUUCCUUCAAAAAUGUAAUACAGUAGAACUCCAAUUAUCCGAACUAUGACUAUCCGAAUCGCCGAUUAUCCGAAUCACUUUAAGAAAAGAAUUUGUCCAAAAAAGUCCAAGUUCGCUAUUAUUCUUCCCCCCGCGAAGCCAGUGUUUGCGCGUUCGCUCACUAUUGUCCUUCCCUCCGCGCAGUCAGUGUAGUAAAACAUGUGAAAAAUAUCAUGUUUCUUUCAUUUAAUUCAAUAAAAAAAAUAGUGCAAUAUCAAAACGUAGCUUUUUUCUGUCCAAUGGCAGUUUUUUUUAAAAACUCCGAUUAUCGAUUAUCCGAAUAUUUGAUUAUCCGAAUGGGUUCCGGUCCCCAUUAAUUCGGAUAAUUGGAGUUCUACUGUAUGUUAAACUCUAUUAUGACUAUUUAUAUUCUAUUUAAAAUAAUCGGGUUUUGAAUAUUGUUGUAAUGAACUAAUUUACAAGCUAUUUUAUAUUUAAUAGCUCUUGAAAAAUUUGUUAACUUAUUUUUUAUUUCUUGUAACUUUUAAUGAAGCCUUUUUAUGAGAGUAGAAGAAAAUUUUCAAGACAACCUGAGUUUAUCAAUACCUUGAAUACCAUGUUAAUUUGAAUAAAAUAAAUUUCCCAACUACCUUAUUGGAAUAUAUUCAUUAUUAGUGUGAGAGAUCUAAAAAAUACCUAGAUAAUACUGCGAAAUUACCUUUUGCAUUAGUUUAGUACCUAUUUUGUUCAAGACUUUAUAAAACGAUUUCAAAAGUAUUCUUUCUCUAUGUACCUACUGUACUUUAUUUCAUCAAUUUCGUUGGCUUAUCUCAUAAUUAUUAUACUUUUACCUGAGCAUGCUUUUACAAUACCGUAUUUAUAUCUCUUGAACUAGUUGAAUCUAUCUCUUCAUAUGUGAAAAAUCUCUGUUCACAGAAUCAAUGCAAUAAAACAGAUAUAGGCUUUGUUACAAAAUGUGGGCUGGAUGAAUUUUUCCAGGGCUAUUUCAUUGCAAUGUGCUCUUGCAAAUUCAUUAUUGUAAACGUGAGUCAAUAAUUUCAUGUGAUUUUUUAGAUUCUAUCAGUUUAAUUAGUCAAGUGAAAAAAAUGUUUUGUUAAAAUAUUUAUAUUUACCCAAUGUGUGGUACUACCACCUUAUAGUUAUCAAAUUAUUUGUCAGCAGUAUCAUAGUAUAAUAUUGCAAAAGAAGGAUAAAGCUGUCUUGUAUGUACCGCGUACUGUGUACUGUGUUGUGUGUUAUAGUUGUAAGCACUUUUGAUAGAAAAAAGCAUUGGUAUAAAACGUGCAAUAAAAAUAACUUAAUUUGACCA